rnacentral:rRNA from 1 species
GACGAACGCUGGCGGCGUGCCUAAUACAUGCAAGUCGAGCGAAGUUUUUCUGGUGCUUGCACUAGAAAAACUUAGCGGCGAACGGGUGAGUAACACGUAAAGAACCUGCCUCAUAGACUGGGACAACUAUUGGAAACGAUAGCUAAUACCGGAUAACAGUAUUUCUCGCAUGGGAGAUAUUUAAAAGUUGGUUAUGCUAACACUAUGAGAUGGCUUUGCGGUGCAUUAGCUAGUUGGUGGGGUAAAGGCCUACCAAGGCGACGAUGCAUAGCCGACCUGAGAGGGUGAUCGGCCACACUGGGACUGAGACACGGCCCAGACUCCUACGGGAGGCAGCAGUAGGGAAUCUUCCGCAAUGGGCGAAAGCCUGACGGAGCAACGCCGCGUGAGUGAAGAAGGAUUUCGGUUCGUAAAGCUCUGUUGUUAGGGAAGAAUGGAUAUGU